AGAAAGCCACGGCUAACUACGUGCCAGCAGCCGCGGUAAUACGUAGGUGGCAAGCGUUAUCCGGAAUUAUUGGGCGUAAAGCGCGCGUAGGCGGUUUUUUAAGUCUGAUGUGAAAGCCCACGGCUCAACCGUGGAGGGUCAUUGGAAACUGGAAAACUUGAGUGCAGAAGAGGAAAGUGGAAUUCCAUGUGUAGCGGUGAAAUGCGCAGAGAUAUGGAGGAACACCAGUGGCGAAGGCGACUUUCUGGUCUGUAACUGACGCUGAUGUGCGAAAGCGUGGGGAUCAAACAGGAUUAGAUACCCUGGUAGUCCACGCCGUAAACGAUGAGUGCUAAGUGUUAGGGGGUUUCCGCCCCUUAGUGCUGCAGCUAACGCAUUAAGCACUCCGCCU
rnacentral:rRNA from 1 species